rnacentral:lncRNA from 1 species
GUACUAAGUACCCAAGGGCAGUGAGCUGGGUUCCACGAAAUUACAGCCCGCAGCACCCGAGGAUUGGAAAUCCCAGGGCAGAAGGGGCGUUUCGUCUUAGGACCGCUGGACUCGGACUCGGCAUGUCGCAGCUCAGUUGUGGGGCUGCAGUGCGGCUCCCCCCAACCGUCCGCUUUCUAAGCUCCACUGUGGAGCGGCAGGUGCCGCAGCUCCUCCCCUCCCGCCUCGGCGCACUCCCGGGUCAUGGGGGCGGGGGGAGGGGAGGUGUGGUGAAGCAUCUAGACUCAGCGGCGGGCGAUCCCAUCCAAGCACCCUGAGAUCUCGGUGUUGAGAAAGAGGGGGUACAGGAGGCGGGGAGGAGGGUGAGGAGGACUGCAGAGCUCAGGCGCUGAGCUGUGCACUGGAGGGGGGAGGGAUGGGAGCUCCCUUCCAGCCUUGGGGGUCUGGGGACUCAGGGAUGUAAGGCGAGAGCAGGGGGGUGUGACAAUUCAGCAGAGGUCGGGACGUACCACGGAGCCCAGUGGCGGGGGGGGGGCAGAGGACGUGGUCAUCAAGGGGAGCCCCCGCCCGCCUUCGCAAAGGCCUACGCCUGAGGUUGCAGGGAGAACUGGAACUGGGCUCCCGGUAGGGGGAAGCGGUGUAUUAAAUCCGCCCCCUACUCAUACCCCACUUCCGAGGGGGUGGACGAUAGAGGGAGGUUGGGGUUGGAGCAGCGGCGAGGGGGCCCCUCCCUAGCACCUCCCCCCACCGGACUUGGUCGCGCCCGAAGUGUAACACUUUCUCUUUGUCGGAGGAGCUCCGCUGUUUCCUGUGCUGUAGCUCCCGUUGCAGCGGCGCCCGUGGCAGCCCUGGCGGACGCAGGAGCGAUGGCAGCGACCGAUAUAGCUCGCCAGGUGAAUAACAGCAGUGGGAGAAAGAUGCACAGCUGGAAUGGCCAUAACUGCGUUCUUCAUAACAUGAACCUUCGAAUAUUCAAUUAAAAAACAAAAUUGGUGUGUCCUCAGGGGAGGAGGCGGAAGAGAAAGAGAGUGGUGUUUCGGCCUGUGAUAUGAAAUGUGGUAUAACGUAUUUCAAAACCGCAGGUGACUGCAGAUGAGGAGAAAACAGGAAAUGUAAUUGGGGAGGAGAGUGGGGGCUCUCCCAAUUCUCAGGAGCACUCUUUGGUUUUGCCUUCCUUUUAGCUCCUCUCAGACUCUCUGCAUCCUAAUUACCUCUGCUGCAAAGCUGACUGAGCACUCUCUUUUCUUGUAUUAAAAUGUUUUUAAAUUACACAGGUAAUGUGUGAAUACAUUCAUGUUGUAAAAGAAUCAAACAAUACAGAAGCAUACUGCCU